AGCCGGACAGGUGAGCCGGACAGGUGAGUGAACAGCUCAGGUGAGCCGGACAGGUGAGCCAGAGAGGUGAGUGACCCCACCCAGGUGAGCCGGACAGGUGAGCCAGACAGAUGAGUGACCCCCCCAGGUGAGCCCUGACAGGUGAGUGGGACACGUGAGCAUUGGGACAGGUGAGCAUUGGACAGGUGAGCAUUGGACAGGUGUGACCCCCCCAGGUGAGUGAGGAGACAGGUGAGAGGGGACAGGUGAGCAUUGGACAGGUGAGAGGGACAGGUGAGUGAGGAGACGGACAGCCCAGGUGAGUGGGACAGGUGAGCGAGGACAGCCCAGGUGAGCAAGGAUAGGUGUCCCGUACCUGUCCCAGGUGUCUCACCUGUCCCAGGUGUGUCCCAGGUGUGUCCCAGGUGUGUCCCAGGUGUGUCCCACCUGUCCCAGGUGUGUCCCA